CCUACGGGAGGCAGCAGUGAGGAAUAUUGGUCAAUGGACGAGAGUCUGAACCAGCCAAGUAGCGUGAAGGAUGACUGCCCUAUGGGUUGUAAACUUCUUUUAUAUGGGAAUAAAAUGUUCCACGUGUGGGAUUUUGUAUGUACCAUAUGAAUAAGGAUCGGCUAACUCCGUGCCAGCAGCCGCGGUAAUACGGAGGAUCCGAGCGUUAUCCGGAUUUAUUGGGUUUAAAGGGAGCGUAGGUGGAUUGUUAAGUCAGUUGUGAAAGUUUGCGGCUCAACCGUAAAAUUGCAGUUGAAACUGGCAGUCUUGAGUACAGUAGAGGUGGGCGGAAUUCGUGGUGUAGCGGUGAAAUGCUUAGAUAUCACGAAGAACUCCGAUUGCGAAGGCAGCUCACUGGACUGCAACUGACACUGAGGCUCGAAAGCGUGGGGAGCAAACAGGAUUAGAUACCCCAGUAGUC
rnacentral:rRNA from 1 species